CCUACGGGGGGCAGCAGUCGAGAAUCAUUCACAAUGGGGGAAACCCUGAUGGUGCGACGCCGCGUGGGGGAAUGAAGGUCUUCGGAUUGUAAACUGCUUUUUUACGGGGGUAAUUACAGAUACGUGUAUCUGGAUGAAAGUACCGUAUGAAUAAGGAUCGGCUAACUCCGUGCCAGCAGCCGCGGUAAUACGGAGGAUCCGAGCGUUAUCCGGAUUUAUUGGGUUUAAAGGGUGCGUAGGCGGUCAGGUAAGUUAGAGGUGAAAGCUCGAUGCUCAACAUCGAAACUGCCUCUGAUACUGUCUGACUAGAGUGUAGUUGCGGAAGGCGGAAUGUGUGGUGUAGCGGUGAAAUGCUUAGAUAUCACACAGAACACCGAUUGCGAAGGCAGCUUUCCAAGCUAUUACUGACGCUGAGGCACGAAAGCGUGGGGAGCGAACAGGAUUAGAUACCCGUGUAGUC
rnacentral:rRNA from 1 species